rnacentral:rRNA from 1 species
CGAGAGUCCCCCAGUAGCGGCGAGCGAACGGGGAGCAGCCCAGAGCCUGAAUCAGUGUGUGUGUUAGUGGAAGCGUCUGGAAAGGCGUGCGAUACAGGGUGACAGCCCCGUACACAAAAAUGCACAUGCUGUGAGCUCGAUGAGUAGGGCGGGACACGUGGUAUCCUGUCUGAAUAUGGGGGGACCAUCCUCCAAGGCUAAAUACUCCUGACUGA